rnacentral:rRNA from 1 species
CCCAGACUCCUACGGGAGGCAGCAGUGGGGAAUAUUGGGCAAUGGGCGCAAGCCUGACCCAGCAACGCCGCGUGAAGGAAGAAGGCUUUCGGGUUGUAAACUUCUUUUCUCAGGGACGAAGCAAGUGACGGUACCUGAGGAAUAAGCCACGGCUAACUACGUGCCAGCAGCCGCGGCAAUACGUAGGUGGCAAGCGUUAUCCGGAUUUACUGGAUGUAAAGGGCGUGUAGGCGGGGACGCAAGUCAGAUGUGAAAACCAUGGGCUCAACCUGUGGCCUGCAUUUGAAACUGUGUUUCUUGAGUACUGGAGAGGCAGACGGAAUUCCUAGUGUAGCGGUGAAAUGCGUAGAUAUUAGGAGGAACACCAGUGGCGAAGGCGGUCUGCUGGACAGCAACUGACGCUGAGGCGCGAAAGCGUGGGGAGCAAGCAG